UACGUAGGGCGCAAGCGUUAUCCGGAAUUAUUGGGCGUAAAGAGCUCGUAGGCGGUUUGUCGCGUCUGCCGUGAAAGUCCGGGGCUCAACUCCGGAUCUGCGGUGGGUACGGGCAGACUAGAGUGAUGUAGGGGAGACUGGAAUUCCUGGUGUAGCGGUGAAAUGCGCAGAUAUCAGGAGGAACACCGAUGGCGAAGGUAGGUCUCUGGGCAUUAACUGACGCUGAGGAGCGAAAGCGUGGGGAGCGAACAGG
rnacentral:rRNA from 1 species